rnacentral:rRNA from 1 species
AUGAACGCUAGCGACAGGCCUAACACAUGCAAGUCAGGGGCAGCACAAGGAGCAAUCUGAGGUGGCGACCGGCGCACGGGUGAGUAACACGUAUGCAACCUGCCUGUAAGCGGGGAAUAACCCGUUGAAAGACGGACUAAUACCGCAUAAUACUAAAUUACUGCAUGGUAAUUUAUUUAAACAUUUAUGGCUUACAGAUGGGCAUGCGCAUGAUUAGCUAGUUGGAGAGGUAACGGCUCCCCAAGGCAACGAUCAUUAGGGGUUCUGAGAGGAAGGUCCCCACACUGGUACUGAGACACGGACCAGACUCCUACGGGAGGCAGCAGUGAGGAAUAUUGGUCAAUGGACGAGAGUCUGAACCAGCCAAGUCGCGUGCAGGAAGAAUGUCCUAUGGAUUGUAAACUGCUUUUGCAGGGGAAUAAAGUGCAUCACGUGUGAUGUUUUGUAUGUACUCUGCGAAUAAGGAUCGGCUAACUCCGUGCCAGCAGCAGC